UACGGGGGGGGCAAGCGUUGUUCGGAUUUACUGGGCGUAAAGGGCGCGUAGGCGGCCACGACAAGUCACUUGUGAAAUCUCCGGGCUUAACUCGGAAAGGUCAAGUGAUACUGUCGGGCUAGAGUACAGAAGGGGCAACUGGAAUUCUCGGUGUAGCGGUGAAAUGCGUAGAUAUCGAGAGGAACACCUGCGGCGAAGGCGGGUUGCUGGGCUGAUACUGACGCUGAUGCGCGAAAGCCAGGGGAGCGAACGGG
rnacentral:rRNA from 1 species